UAUACAUGCAAGUCGAGCGGACCGACGGGAGCUUGCUCCCUUAGGUCAGCGGCGGACGGGUGAGUAACACGUGGGUAACCUGCCUGUAAGACUGGGAUAACUCCGGGAAACCGGGGCUAAUACCGGAUGCUUGAUUGAACCGCAUGGUUCAAUCAUAAAAGGUGGCUUUCAGCUACCACUUGCAGAUGGACCCGCGGCGCAUUAGCUAGUUGGUGAGGUAACGGCUCACCAAGGCGACGAUGCGUAGCCGACCUGAGAGGGUGAUCGGCCACACUGGGACUGAGACACGGCCCAGACUCCUACGGGAGGCAGCAGUAGGGAAUCUUCCGCAAUGGACGAAAGUCUGACGGAGCAACGCCGCGUGAGUGAUGAAGGUUUUCGGAUCGUAAAACUCUGUUGUUAGGGAAGAACAAGUACCGUUCGAAUAGGGCGGUACCUUGACGGUACCUAACCAGAAAGCCACGGCUAACUACGUGCCAGCAGCCGCGGUAAUACGUAGGUGGCAAGCGUUGUCCGGAAUUAUUGGGCGUAAAGCGCGCGCAGGCGGUUUCUUAAGUCUGAUGUGAAAGCCCCCGGCUCAACCGGGGAGGGUCAUUGGAAACUGGGGAACUUGAGUGCAGAAGGAGGAGGAGUGGAAUUCCACGUGUAGCGGUGAAAUGCGUAGAGAUGUCAAGGAACACCAUGACGAAGGCGACUCUCUGGAUCUGUAACUG
rnacentral:rRNA from 2 species